UGAAGGUACAAGGCUAGCUGUGUUUCUGUGCGCUGCACAUUUCUCUGUGCAGCUAAGCAGUACAGCAGAACAGUAUGUUGAUGCACACUGAGAUUUCACGGGAAUGCUCCAGAGAGAUCUCUAGGAAACUUUCUUGGAGAUGUGGCCUUCAGGGGAAUCCCCUACACAUUGGCGGAGCACCUCCGCCAGAUAAGAAAGUGGCCAAGAUGGAGCAAGGAGGACAUGUUCUGGUAGAUCAUGUAAUACUCCGAGGCAGAAAAAAGGGAAUGCAGGAAGUGGAGAGAGAUUGAAAGGCAGGACAGAAAAGAAAAUCAGGACUUCAUUAAGGAUGCCACUGAGAGGAUGAAAAAAGGAAUGGAGGAGCAAACAGAUGUGCUUAAGUCCCUCAUAACACUGCAGUCAGAACAGAUGUGUGCCCACCCUUCCCUGCAUUACAUUCAGAACUGUUUUCCAUGCCCCUCUUCCAAAAUGCCACUAGUGCAUUCCCUUACGCUUUCUAGAACUUCUCGCUUUCCCAUUUACUCCAUCCCCUUGGACAGCUUUCAAAAUGAUAGCUGGACCUAUGCAUAGCUCUGAAGCUCUGCCCUUCCCUGAUUCCUACUUUUCCCAUCAAGCAUUUUUGUGUGUGUUUGUUUAAUAAAAACAGAGAAUCUGAAAGAUAACUGA